rnacentral:rRNA from 1 species
GUUUAUAGCCACAACACCCAGAAUGCACCUGGUCUCAUCUGGUCUUAGAAGCUAAGCAUGCUUGCGUCUGGUUAGUACUUGGAUGGGAGAAGUCAAUUCUUUGUAAUUC